GACGAACGCUGGCGGCGUGCCUAAUACAUGCAAGUCGAGCGGACUUGACAGAGCUUGCUCUGUUCAAGUUAGCGGCGGACGGGUGAGUAACACGUGGGCAACCUGCCCUGCAGAUUGGGAUAACUCCGGGAAACCGGGGCUAAUACCGAAUAACAUUGAAAACCUCAUGGUUUUCUUUUAAAAGGCGGCUUCGGCUGUCACUGCAGGAUGGGCCCGCGGCGCAUUAGCUAGUUGGGGAGGUAACGGCUCACCAAGGCAACGAUGCGUAGCCGACCUGAGAGGGUGAUCGGCCACACUGGGACUGAGACACGGCCCAGACUCCUACGGGAGGCAGCAGUAGGGAAUCUUCCGCAAUGGACGAAAGCCUGACCCAGCAACGCCGCGUGAAGGAUGAAAUCCCUCGGGAUGUAAACUUCGCAAGAACGGGAAGAAUAAGUUGGUGCGAAUAUCACCAGCGAUGACGGUACCGUUUGUAAGCUCCGGCUAACUCCGUGCCAGCAGCCGCCGCUGUAA
rnacentral:rRNA from 1 species